AUUGAACGCUGGCGGCAGGCCUAACACAUGCAAGUCGAGCGGUAGCACAGAGAGCUUGCUCUCGGGUGACGAGUGGCGGACGGGUGAGUAACGUCUGGGAAACUGCCCGAUGGAGGGGGAUAACUACUGGAAACGGUAGCUAAUACCGCAUAACGUCGCAAGACCAAAGUGGGGGACCUUCGGGCCUCACACCAUCGGAUGUGCCCAGAUGGGAUUAGCUAGGAGGUGGGGUAAUGGCUCACCUAGGCGACGAUCCCUAGCUGGUCUGAGAGGAUGACCAGCCACACUGGAACUGAAGCGCGGUACAGACUCCUACGGGAAGCAGCAGUGGGGAAUAUUGCACAAUGGGCGCAAGCCUGAUGCAGCCAUGCCGCGUGUAUGAAGAAGGCCUUCGGGUUGUAAAGUACUUUCAGCGGGGAGGAAGGCGGUGAAGUUAAUAGCUUCACCGAUUGACGUUACCCGCAGAAGAAGCACCGGCUAACUCCGUGCCAGCCGCCGCAGUAA
rnacentral:rRNA from 1 species